rnacentral:rRNA from 1 species
AUUGAACGCUGGCGGCAGGCCUAACACAUGCAAGUCGAACGAGUGGCGGACGGGUGAGUAAUGUCUGGUAAACUGCCCGAUGGGGGGGGAUAAAUACUGGAAACGGUAGCUAAUACCGCCUACCAUCGGAUGUGCCCAGAUGGGAUUAGCUAGUAGGUGGGGUAACGGCUCACCUAGGCGACGAUCCCUCGCUGGUCUGAGAGGAUGACCAGCCACACUGGAACUGAGACACGGUCCAGACUCCUACGGGAGGAAGCAGUGGGGAAUAUUGCACAAUGGGCGCAAGCCUAAUGCAGACAUGCCGCGUGGAUGAAGAAGGCCUUCGGGUUGUAAAGUACGUUCAGCGGGGAGGCGUUACCCGCAGAAGAAGCACCGGCUAACUCCGUGCCAGCAGCCGCGGUAAUAC